rnacentral:rRNA from 1 species
CGUAGGGUGCAAGCGUUAAUCGGAAUUACUGGGCGUAAAGCGUGCGCAGGCGGUCGUGCAAGACAGGUGUGAAAUCCCCGGGCUUAACCUGGGAACUGCAUUUGUGACUGCACGGCUGGAGUGCGGCAGAGGGGGAUGGAAUUCCGCGUGUAGCAGUGAAAUGCGUAGAUAUGCGGAGGAACACCGAUGGCGAAGGCAAUCCCCUGGGCCUGCACUGACGCUCAUGCACGAAAGCGUGGGGAGCAAACAGGAUUAGAUACCCUGGUAGUCCACGCCCUAAACGAUGUCAACUGGUUGUUGGGAAGGUUCCCUCUCAGUAACGAAGCUAACGCGUGAAGUUGACCGCCUGGGGAGUACGGCCGCAAGGUUG